GCACGGCGCCGCGACGCAGCAGAGCGCUAGUCGGCCAGCGCCGGUAGACCAGCAGGGGGAGCCCGCAUCCCCCUCGGCAUGAUACUAGGCUCUGGAUGCCACUGAGUACAGUUUCCUUCCUAAGCUCACUAGAUGGAAUAAUUGAUGUUGUUAUUGAGAUUUUCUACCAAAAGCAUCUUGACUAUUUGGUUGAUUUAAUAGCAUCAUCCCGCCCUCCGAGGAACAUUUCCAGAGCAUAUUUGGGUUUAGACAAUACAUAUUUGCGUCUGAGACAUGUUGUAAAAAAUAGAGUAACUGAGUGAUAUUUUUUUGAAUCAGAACUUGUUAUGUCGUGUUGUGGCUUGAAUGAUAUUUUUUGCUGGAUAAAAAUGGCCCACAUGUAAAAAAGCAGCUCAUUUAUGAUGAAAAAAAUUCACGUGUCAAAACAAUGUUUAUCCAUGUGGUGCCGCUAUAAUUAUCCAUGUGGCGCAAAAAUGUGUAUCCACGUGUCAGAUCCCUAUGGGUCAACGUGGUAGAAUAAGAUAGAAACACAUGGCGAUUAAAC